rnacentral:lncRNA from 1 species
AUUGAAUUGCACUGAAAUAGAAUUGAACCCGUAAGCUUUAAGAAACCUGUGACUCAACCAACUAUGCCAUCCCACUAUUUGCAAAACAACCCAUUUUCCACGUUUUUGAAUUGAUGUCUGGGUUUAACUGAAAACAGCCAAAACGGCUUUUUUGGCGUUUUCCAUUUUCUUUGUAAAUUUUAAACUCAUUUUUGAAAAUUCGUUUAUGAAAAUAUGUAAGUAAACGUGUUUUCAGUGUUUUCGAAAAUUAAAAACUGAAAAUGACCUGAAAAUAGCAAAAAUAACAGUCCCUAAAUGUCUUGGUUUGAGAUUGAAUUGCAUUGUUUCUGAAGUGUUUUUCAAAGUAGCUAAUGAUAUAGAGCUAGGUAUUUAUGGUUUUCUUUUGCAGGCAAAACAAUUUUGGACUCUUCUACUACUACUAUAUUUAAGUAUAGGAGUAAAGUUGACUGGGCUCUUUUGAUUUGGCCUGGUGCAAGACCACCUAUGACUAAGCCGGCACAACCCACAUUUUCCUUCCAGUCCCAGACAAGGUCACCAGCCAGGAUUUGCACCUCAAGAGAUAGCCGUUCCAAAUUCAGAUUCGCAAUAAAAUCAGUUCGAAUCGAGUAGAAUCUGCCCCAUUUCAAGUCUCGGGUUCUUUCUCCAGUUUUACACUGGUGGAAAAAAAAAAUGUUUUUACUGCAUUUAUAGUAUUACAUACACGAAGGAAAAGCGAUACUCCGAGACGUAUUUCUAUCUUAAGGAUUUAGUAACACAACUUGUAGUACAAUGCAUCAAAUUGAAAUACAAGGGAAUCAAGCACAAAAGACUGAACAAAGAACAAACUAACGGCAUACUUGGUACACUAUAUUGGACGGACAGAAAAGGACAAUAGAGAUUUCAACUUUUUUCUCAUUUUUCCAAUUCUAUCCAAUGAAAACUAACAAGUACGCCUUAAAAGUUUCAGCAUGGUUCCUUGGAAGAACUUCUUGAUGAUAGCUCGUAUCUACCAGUAUGCUGAAUUAUACAAACAGAUAUAAAGCUACUUCGAUGAUGAGGGCACAGAAUUUGGGUGAACCUUCUUGAACACAAUGGGUAAGCAACCAGCAAAAGUAGAUUUUUUCCCUUCAACAGCAUUUUUCUUACUUCUCUUGUUCGAAUCGCUUAUUUUCCCUUCAGAAGCUGCUUUUUCUUUGGUUCUCUUGUUUUCUAGUUCUCUCGUCAUCUUCUCCUUAUGAAGCUUUCUCAUCAAAUAAACUUCAGCAAUAUCCACACUAAGAGUCGACAUGGCUUAAUCAAAGGUCACCAAAAAUAAGCAGAAUCAAAAAAGAUAAAAAUAAAUAAAAGGUGGAAUUAUAGAAGCUGGUGGAUUUAGAUCGUAAUAAGAAUUGUCUAUAUGAUAAUUUAGUAGUGUAAGGGAGUAUAUAUGGUGAUCGCGAACUUGGGCUGCACGCAAAUCUUGGACACUAGUGUG